CCCUUAGAUGUUCUGGGCCGCACGCGCGCUACACUGACGAAUGCAACGAGCUUAUAACCUUGGCCGAAAGGUCUGGGUAAUCUCCAAAUUUCGUCGUGAUGGGGAUAGAUUAUUGCAAUUAUUAAUCUUCAACGAGGAAUGCCUAGUAAGCGCAAGUCAUCAGCUUGCGUUGAUUACGUCCCUGCCCUUUGUACACACCGCCCGUCGCUCCUACCGAUUGAAUGGUCCGGUGAAGCGUUCGGACCGUGGCCUUUGGACGGUUCGCCGUCUGUUGGCUGCGGGAAGUUCGUCAAACCUUAUCAUUUAGAGGAAGGAGAAGUCGUANCA
rnacentral:rRNA from 1 species